rnacentral:rRNA from 1 species
AGCGUAACAAGGUUUCCGUAGGUGAACCUGCGGAAGGAUCAUUAAAUAAUCAAUAAUCUUGGCUUGUCCAUUAUUAUCUAUUUACUGUGAACUGUAUUAUUAUUUGACAUUUGAGGGAUGUUCCAAUGUUAUAAGGAUAGACAUUGGAAAUGUUAACCGAGUCAUAAUCAGGUUUAGGCCUGGUAUCCUAUUAUUAUUUACCAAAUGAAUUCAGAAUUAAUAUUGUAACAUAGACCUAAAAAAUCUAUAAAACAACUUUUAACAACGGAUCUCUUGGUUCUCGCAUCGAUGAAGAACGUAGCAAAGUGCGAUAACUAGUGUGAAUUGCAUAUUCAGUGAAUCAUCGAGUCUUUGAACGCAACUUGCGCUCAUUGGUAUUCCAAUGAGCACGCCUGUUUCAGUAUCAAAACAAACCCUCUAUCCAACUUUUGUUGUAUAGGAUUAUUGGGGGCCUCUCGAUCUGUAUAGAUCUUGAAAUCCCUGAAAUUUACUAAGGCCUGAACUUGUUUAAAUGCCUGAACUUUUUUUUAAUAUAAAGGAAAGCUCUUGUAAUUGACUUUGAUGGGGCCUCCCAAAUAAAUCUUUUUUAAAUUGAUCUAAAUCAUACCCUAUCCACUCCCUGCC